rnacentral:rRNA from 1 species
CAGGAUGAACGCUAGCGGCAGGCCUAAUACAUGCAAGUCGAGGGAGUCGUGUUGUAGCAAUACAGCAUAGGCGACCGGCAAACGGGUGCGGAACGCGUACAUAACCUACCUUUAACUGGGGCAUAACUUAUAGAAAUGUUUGCUAAUUCCCCAUAGCAUCUUUUCAAGGCAUCUUGGAAAGAUUAAAGUUUUUCGGUUAAAGAUGGAUGUGCGUUUGAUUAUGGUAGUUGGUAAGGUAACGGCUUACCAAGCCUACGAUCAAUAACUGGUGUGAGAGCACGACCAGUCACACGGGCACUGAGACACGGGCCCGACUCCUACGGGAGGCAGCAGUAAGGAAUAUUAUGCAAUGGACGAAAGUCUGACAUAGCCAUGCCGCGUGCAGGAUGAAGGCGCUCUGCGUUGUAAACUGCUUUUAUCUGGGAAGAAAUCCCCGUUUCUACGGGAGUUGACGGUACCAGAAGAAUAAGCACCGGCUAACUCCGUGCCAGCAGCCGCGGUAAUACGGAGGGUGCAAGCGUUAUCCGGAUUUACUGGGUUUAAAGGGUGCGUAGGCGGGCAGAUAAGUCAGCGGUGAAAUCUCCGAGCUUAACUUGGAAACUGCCAUUGAUACUAUUUGUCUUGAAUAUCGUGGAGGUAAAUGGAAUAUGUCAUGUAGCGGUGAAAUGCUUAGAUAUGACAUGGAACACCAAUUGCGAAGGCAGUUUGCUACACGAUCAUUGACGCUGAGGCACGAAAGCGUGGGGAUCAAACAGGAUUAGAGACCCUGGUAGUCCACGCCCUAAACUAUGAAUACUCGACAUUAGCGAUACACUGUUAGUGUCUAAGCGAAAGCAUUAAGUAUUCCACCUGGGAAGUACGACCGCAAGGUUGAAACUCAAAGGAAUUGACGGGGGCCCGCACAAGCGGUGGAGCAUGUGGUUUAAUUCGAUGCAACGCGAAGAACCUUACCUGGCCUUGACAUAGUAAGAACUUUCCAGAGAUGGAUUGGUGCCUUCGGGAACUUACAUACAGGUGCUGCAUGGCUGUCGUCAGCUCGUGUCGUGAGAUGUUGGGUUAAGUCCCGCAACGAGCGCAACCCUUGUCAUUAGUUGCUACGAAAGGGCACUCUAAUGAGACUGCCGGUGACAAACCGGAGGAAGGUGGGGAUGACGUCAAGUCCUCAUGGCCCUUAUGGGUAGGGCUUCACACGUCAUACAAUGGUACAUACAGAGGGCCGCCAACCCGCGAGGGGGAGCUAAUCCCAGAAAGUGUAUCGUAGUCCGGAUUGUAGUCUGCAACUCGACUACAUGAAGUUGGAAUCGCUAGUAAUCGCGGAUCAGCAUGUCGCGGUGAAUACGUUCCCGGGUCUUGUACACACCGCCCGUCACACCAUGGGAGCGGGUUCUGCCAGAAGUAGGUAGCUUAACCGUAAGGAGGGCGCUUACCACGGCAGGGUUCGUGACUGGGGUGAAGUCGUAACAAGGUAACCGUAGGGGAACCUGCGGUUG